rnacentral:rRNA from 1 species
GAUGAACGCUAGCGACAGGCUUAACACAUGCAAGUCGAGGGGCAGCAUAGAAGUUGCAAUACUUUGGUGGCGACCGGCGCACGGGUGAGUAACGCGUAUGCAACCUACCUAUCAGAGGGGAAUAACCCGGCGAAAGUCGGACUAAUACCGCAUAAAACAGGGGCACCGCAUGGUGAUAUUUGUUAAAGAAAUUCGCUGAUAGAUGGGCAUGCGUUCCAUUAGGUAGUUGGUGAGGUAACGGCUCACCAAGCCGACGAUGGAUAGGGGAACUGAGAGGUUGGUCCCCCACACUGGUACUGAGACACGGACCAGACUCCUACGGGAGGCAGCAGUGAGGAAUAUUGGUCAAUGGGCGGGAGCCUGAACCAGCCAAGUCGCGUGAAGGAAGAAGGAUCUAUGGUUCGUAAACUUCUUUUGCAGGGGAAUAAAGUGCAGGACGUGUCCUGUUUUGUAUGUACCCUGAGAAUAAGGAUCGGCUAACUCCGUGCCAGCAGCCGCCGUAAUAC